rnacentral:rRNA from 1 species
GACGAACGCUGGCGGCGUGCUUAACACAUGCAAGUCGAACGAAGAGCGAUGGAAGCUUGCUUCUAUCAAUCUUAGUGGCGAACGGGUGGGUAACGCGUAAUCAACCUGCCCUUCAGAGGGGGACAACAGUUGGAAACGACUGCUAAUACCGCAUACGAUCUAAUCUCGGCAUCGAGGAAAGAUGAAAGGUGGCCUCUAUUUAUAAGCUAUCACUGAAGGAGGGGAUUGCGUCUGAUUAGCUAGUUGGAGGGGUAACGGCCCACCAAGGCGAUGAUCAGUAGCCGGUCUGAGAGGAUGAACGGCCACAUUGGGACUGAGACACGGCCCAGACUCCUACGGGAGGCAGCAGUGGGGAAUCUUCCGCAAUGGACGAAAGUCUGACGGAGCAACGCCGCGUGAGUGAUGACGGCCUUCGGGUUGUAAAGCUCUGUUAAUCGGGACGAAAGGCCUUCUUGCGAACAGUUAGAAGGAUUGACGGUACCGGAAUAGAAAGCCACGGCUAACUACGUG